AGGACUGACAAUACUCUUUCCAGUUUUUACUCUUGCGAAUCGAAACUCGAAAGCCAGCUUAAUUUGCGCGGGGAGAUUUGGAAACGGAGGCUCCAAUUCUCAAACCCGCGAAACGAAAUCUGCCGAGCCAUAAAACCGUGCGAAACACUCCGGCCGAAACAUCACGCCGCACCGCUGACCAUUCCACCAUGAGCGCAGCAGGCAGCGGCAGCCCCGUCUCCCGCAAGCGCCCUCUCGUCUCGGUCCCGGCCUCGCCGGCGGCAGCCUCCUGCGGUGGGGGCGAUGGCGGGGACGCAGCCGGCGGUGGAUCCGGCAGCCCCAAGGCGAAGCGGCGCCUCUUCGCGGCGGUCGGUGGCGCCGCCCUCCCGGCUUGGCCCGGCCGACGCACCACUGCAGCCGCGGCUGAGGAUGCUAGUUCUUCAACUGAAUUUUCAAGUGAUGAUGAGGAUAAUCAUAUUAUGGAAGAAUUAUCUAGUGAAGAUGAAACUAUGGAGCUCAUAAUGCACCGUCGUAAGAGAAAUCUGGAGUUCGUCAAUAUGAUGUUAACCCUCGGUAUGUACUAUGAAUCUUACAUACACAAAGCUCCAAGGAGGGUUGCAACAGUGACGGGCCUUGAAUGGGUAAAUGAAACAUUGUCAAAUUCGACCUCUUGUUAUAACAUGUUUAGGAUGAGUUGCCCAUUAUUUCAUCAACUUCAUGAUUUAUUGGUUGACUCCUAUGGUUUGAGAGGGACUCGAGAUAUGUCAACAGUGGAGGCUUUAGGAAUGUUCCUAUGGAUACUUGGUGCACCGCAGUCACUUAGGCAAGUUGAGGAUCGAUUUGUGAGGUCGGUGGAGAUAAUAAGCCGUACGUUCGACAAAGUGUUAUGCACUAUUCUUAAGCUAGCAGUAGAUAAUAUUAGGCCACUCGACCCUCAAUUUAAGACGGUGCACAAAAGAUUACUAAACUCUCGGUUUGCUCCAUAUUUUAACAACUGUAUAGGAGCUAUAGAUAGCACACAUGUUCCAGUCGUGGUGCCAAGUGAAAAGGUCAUGCAAUAUACAGGGAGACACGGGUAUACCUCACAGAAUGUGCUAGCUAUUUGUGACUUCGAUAUGAGGUUUACAUUUGUUGUUAGUGGAUGGUCUGGAUCGGUCCAUGAUAUGAGAGUGUUCAGUGAUGCUAUAGAAAAAUACGGUGACAAGUUUCCACAUCCUCCUACAGGCAAGUUUUACCUAGUUGAUUCAGGAUAUCCUAACCGUCUCGGUUACCUAGCACCUUACAAGGGUACGAAGUACCAUCUACCGGAGUUUCGUAAUGGUUCAAUGCCCAAAGAUAUGCAAGAGACCUUUAAUUAUGCACAUUCAUCACUUAGAAAUGUUAUCGAGAGGUCCUUUGGAGUUUUAAAGAUGAAGUGGAGGAUACUAAUGGGUAUACCAAGUUUUCCAAUGCACAAGCAAAGCAAAAUUAUUGUGGCAUGCAUGGCAAUUCACAAUUUUAUUCGAGAGAAUGGUAUUGCCGAUAGAGAAUUUGAUUUGUACGAUUGUGAUGAAAAUUUUAUUCCAAUGCCCGGAACUUCAAACCGCGGAGGAGGUGGGACAAGUACCCAAGGAGGAGAUGAAGAUAGCAACAUGAAUGCAUUUCGAGAUGAAAUAGCUCAUGCCUUGUACAAUAGGUCUUAAAAAAUUGAUUUCAAUGUUGUAAUGAUAAUGUAUUUUUAGUUUUAUUUUGGAGUUAUUAGACAUUGUAAUAGACAUAAUAUUCCCUUCUCAUGCAUGGUUGUAAGAGUGAAAGAGAAAGAGAAGAAGAGAGAGGAGAAGAAUCAAGAAGAAAGGGAGGCAUGCAUGCAUGCAGUGCAUGGCGCUUCAACGGAGGCAUGCAUGCAGUGCAAGGAGGAGAACGGAGGGCUAGGAGGGCUAGCGCAGCGCAGCUCGCAUGCAUGCUAGGGGGGCCAGCGCAUGCAUGCAAGGAGGGCUGGAGGGGCAGCGUGCGCAGGCGGGAGGGGCAACGCGGGAGGAGAAAAAGCGGGCGGGAGGGGCAACGCUGGAGGAGAAAAGCAGGAGCAUAUUGACCGGAUCAAGCUUGCUCGACGGCGCCUGAUCAUUCAGGGUGCUGCUCUGACUGUUGUUGCAGCUUCAGUGUGCUUCCUCCAGGUGAUGAGACGGAGGGGGAGAGGAUACAGUGCCCAGGAGCUCGCUCCCCUCCGUGCGGCCCUUGCAGAGCUCACAUCUGCUAUACGUGCUGCCACUGCUCCAGCUGAACCGCACCCUGACCUUUACCCCACCGUGAUGUGUAUCCCGGGCUUCACCCGUGAGGAGCUUCUGGUUGCGCUCUCCUACCUCGUCGAUGGCAGAGGCCGUGGAGCUGCCUUCCUGGCGAUGUCUGAACCGCAUCGUGCCCUUUGGAUCAAGCACAUUCUUGCCAAGCAGGAGAUCUGAGGCAGUGAGGUGGGUUUAGUACUUUAGUUCGGUAAGUAGGAACUAGCCGGAGCUCACCAUUGAGACUGUUACUUCCUUUUGAUGAUGUAGGCUAAGAUCGAUGGGGAUAGUAGUUCCUUCGAUGAUGGUAACAGUAGUUGUUGAUGAUGAUAGCAGCGGUAUUUUGUGAAGCUAACUGCUAUGUUAGGGUGUAUGUAUGGGUUGAAGAAUAGACACGCCCCUGAACUUAAUCAUGUCUAUCAUGAUGUUUUAUCUAUCUCUGUUCUCAGAAUUGUAUGGGUUGAAGAAUAGACACGCCCCUGAGCUUAACCAUA